CCUACGGGAGGCAGCAGUGGGGAAUAUUGGACAAUGGGGGCAACCCUGAUCCAGCCAUGCCGCGUGUGUGAAGAAGGCCCUCGGGUUGUAAAGCACUUUCAGUGAGGAAGAACGCCUGGUGGUUAAUACCCAUCAGGAAAGACAUCACUCACAGAAGAAGCACCGGCUAACUCCGUGCCAGCAGCCGCGGUAAUACGGAGGGUGCGAGCGUUAAUCGGAAUUACUGGGCGUAAAGCGCGCGUAGGUGGCUUGAUAAGCCGGUUGUGAAAGCCCCGGGCUCAACCUGGGAACGGCAUCCGGAACUGUCAAGCUAGAGUGCAGGAGAGGAAGGUAGAAUUCCCGGUGUAGCGGUGAAAUGCGUAGAUAUCGGGAGGAAUACCAGUGGCGAAGGCGGCCUUCUGGACUGACACUGACACUGAGGUGCGAAAGCGUGGGUAGCAAACAGGAUUAGAUACCCUAGUAGUC
rnacentral:rRNA from 1 species